UUUCCGUAGGUGAACCUGCGGAAGGAUCAUUGUCGAAACCCGCAAAUGCAGAACGACCCGCGAACCGUCUGGAACUCUACUCGAGGGGAGGGCCGCCGCGCCCACCGCUCGUUGCCCCAGGGCUGGGGUUGCGGGCGCAUCCCGCACCCCCAUGCCGUGGGCGCACGCAACAAACAAACCCCGGCGCGAGUCGCGCCAAGGAAGAAGGAAAGAAAGGCGUGCUCCCUCGGUCCCGGAAACGGUGCACCGGGGACUGCGUCGUGGUUAUCCUAUUCGAAACGACUCUCGGCAACGGAUAUCUCGGCUCUCGCAUCGAUGAAGAACGUAGCGAAAUGCGAUACUUGGUGUGAAUUGCAGAAUCCCGUGAACCAUCGAGUCUUUGAACGCAAGUUGCGCCCGAAGCCAUUAGGCCGAGGGCACGCCUGCCUGGGUGUCACGAAACGUCGCCAAACGUCCCUUCACCCCCUCGUAAGGGGAAGCAUCGAGGGCUGGCGGAUACUGGCCUCCCGUGCGCAGUCGCUCGCGGUUGGCCCAAAAGAGAGUCCCCCGGCAAGGCGGCCACGACACGCGGUGGUAGAGAGCGCACGCACGCUCUCCUCGAACACCGUCGUGGGCGAGCCUCGUCGAGCGGGGAAGCCAGAGGCCCCGACGCAGAGCGUCCCUCGCACAGCGACCCCAGGUCAGGCGGGAACACCCGCUGAGUUUAAG
rnacentral:rRNA from 1 species